GGAGGGCUGUGGCACAGUGGUAGAGAGCGUCUGCCUUGCAUGCAGAAGGUCUUGGGGUUCAAUCCCCGGUAUUUCCU